CUCCCGCAGCCGCCUCCCUCCCUCCCUCCCGAGCGCCUCCUAUCCUCCCACCCGCAUCGCCGCCGUCGCCACCCACCUCCUCGAACCGCGAUUGAACCCUAGCCGUCACUCCCCGCCAGCCAUCCUCCCUGCCCGUCCGCCGCCGCCACGCCAUCACCGCCACCUACCCGACGCGUUGUGGAGGAAGCGACCAGAGAGGGAGGGCGUCGCCGGUGUGUGCGCGUGCUUCCACGGGUUCUCGCCGCGGUCGCCGGAGCCGUGGUCAACCGCGUCGGGGAGGAUGGGCGCCACACCGCGGUCGCCGAAUCCGUUGGCUGCGAGUCCGGGCGCGUCGGAUCCAGUGGCUGUUAGGAGGCAACGCUCGGAGGAGGUCGGACACAAAAGGCCAGCGCGCGGAAGAGGCCGGGGCAUGGAGGCAGCGCACGGAGCUCACUUGCGGCGACGAGCUGUGCUACUGCCUUGGCUACAACCUCGUAGGUUCAUCUCCAAUGGCAAAUCCAUAGCUUUGUGCUAAAGGUUCAGGCAGAUGGAAGCAUUAGCAAUUCCCUCGACGUAGCUCUCGAUUGGGCCUGAACCACAACCAGCUAAGGGGACAUUUCUACAGAUCGUUUCAUCUGAUUUCCGACAUUUUCAGUUUUUGGACCACCCAGAAUGGAUAUAUUGAGUGUCCCUCUUGCUGCUAAACACAAUACAGUUGAGAUUAUGUCCCUACUGAGAUUCUUAAAGAACAUGGUACACCGGAAUAGCUUCAGAUCAAAGUAACUCAGCCGAUGGACCUUCUUAUCAUGAAACACCAUGGCAAUCGAGUUGUCGUCCGUCCGUCCCUCCCUCCUCGCGCUCGGAACCCUAGCUCGCGGCCAUGGCGACCGUGCACGUCGCAGGCAGCGCAGGAUCUUCAGCACUACAAGUUGUGAUUUCUAUCACAUGUUUGUUUGAUACACAAGGUCCUUCCAUCAUGUACCCACCCACACAUGCAAAUGAAUUCGUUUGGUGGUUAUAUCUUGAGUGGCAUCUGAAUACACAAGCGUGACCAAGAGUAAGCGUGAGUGCCAGAGAAGUCCCCAUUUAGCAUGAUGGAGAGCAGGAUUGUCCCCAUUUAUAUUUGGUUCACACAGUUGUAGCUUCCUUUUUCUACGGGUUGAAAUGAUAUGGCUUGGUCGCGGUUUAGGUCAGACAGAGAUGAUCCAGUACUAAUUAAGCAUCAUUGAUAAAUAACAAGAGGGGCAUGUGAGGAGCCCUGUCUUGCUUGUAAUAGCUAAACUAUUGUUACCUACUUAAUGAGAUCCAUCGUCGAUCUGCUCUAUUGACUAAAUGUACCCUGCUUGCUUUGCUUUGACAAAAUGGCCUGUGCUGAACUUGGUCUUCCUUGGCUACCCAGAUGGGAUGUCUAUAAGGAGAACUAUCCAGUCCAUAUCUGAAUCUAUG